rnacentral:rRNA from 1 species
AUCCGGGUUGCGGACAGUGUCUGGUGGGUAGUUUGACUGGGGCGGUCUCCUCCUAAAGAGUAACGGAGGAGCACGAAGGUCAGCUAAUCCUGGUCGGACAUCAGGAGGUUAGUGCAAUGGCAUAAGCUGGCUUGACUGCGAGCGUGACGGCGCGAGCAGGUGCGAAAGCAGGUCAUAGUGAUCCGGUGGUUCUGAAUGGAAGGGCCAUCGCUCAACGGAUAAAAGGUACUCCGGGGAUAACAGGCUGAUACCGCCCAAGAGUUCAUAUCGACGGCGGUGUUUGGCACCUCGAUGUCGGCUCAUCACAUCCUGGGGCUGAAGUAGGUCCCAAGGGUAUGGCUGUUCGCCAUUUAAAGUGGUACGCGAGCUGGGUUUAGAACGUCGUGAGACAGUUCGGUCCCUAUCUGCCGUGGGCGCUGGAGAACUGAGGGGGGCUGCUCCUAGUACGAGAGGACCGGAGUGGACGCAUCACUGGUGUUCGGGUUGUCAUGCCAAUGGCACUGCCCGGUAGCUAAAUGCGGAAGAGAUAAGUGCUGAAAGCAUCUAAGCACGAAACUUGCCCCGAGAUGAGUUCUCCCUGACCCUUUAAGGGUCCUGAAGGAACGUUGAAGACGACGACGUUGAUAGGCCGGGUGUGUAAGCGCAGCGAUGCGUUGAGCUAACCGGUACUAAUGAACCGUGAGGCUUAACCUU